rnacentral:rRNA from 1 species
UACCAGCACCCCGAGUGGUCGGGACGUUUAUUGGGCCUAAAGCAUCCGUAGCCGGCUCUACAAGUCUUCCGUUAAAUCCACCUGCUUAACAGAUGGGCUGCGGAAGAUACUAUAGAGCUAGGAGGCGGGAGAGGCAAGCGGUACUCGAUGGGUAGGGGUAAAAUCCGUUGAUCCAUUGAAGACCACCAGUGGCGAAGGCGGCUUGCCAGAACGCGCUCGACGGUGAGGGAUGAAAGCUGGGGGAGCAAACCGG